rnacentral:sRNA from 1 species
UUUGCGCUAGGGGUAGCAGCGGCAUCCUUUUGUGUAGUUUUUACGGAACAAAAGAUAUAGCGAAUAACCCGACCCGAA